GUUGGUCAGUCUCAAACUCCUGGCCUCCAGUCAUCCUCUCAUCUCAGCCUCCCAAAGUGCUGGAAGUACAGGUGUGAGCCACCACGCCUUGCCUGGAAAAAAGCACCUCUUUAUGGGAUGAGCUUAAUUCUCAGUCUAUAGCAAGAAGAGGCAAGUGUGUCCAGGGAAUAAAGAUUUCAGUGAUUGUCAGCUCACUUCAGCUCAAGAUGAGAUGCUCCUACAACCAUUUCUACAUUGCAGUCAAAUAUUUAAAAAAGGCAGAAAAGUAGAAGACACAAGGCUUCUAUUUGCUUAGAAAGAAGGCUGGGGAAUGUAACUUUCAGUUUCAUGCCCAUGUGAAAGACUAAAACUGG
rnacentral:lncRNA from 1 species